rnacentral:rRNA from 2 species
GAUUUCUGGUAUGAUGCGUUUGUCCCGGCUAGCAAUAGAUCGUGUGACUUUGCGCGUCUACCAUCCUUCGCUUCAGAUGUGCUGACGUGUAAAAGCGUUAGCAGCUGUUGUGAUCUUUUACUUUGAAAAAAUUAGAGUGUUUAAAGCAGGCUUGUGCCUUGAAUACAUUAGCAUGGAAUAAUAAUAUAGGACUGGGUUCCUAUUUUGUUGGUUUUCUGGAAUCAAGUAAUGAUUGAUAGGGAUAGUUGGGGGUGCUAGUAUUCAGCGGCCAGAGGUGAAAUUCUUUGAUUCGCUGAAGACUAACUUAUGCGAAAGCAUU